AUGGCAUGGGUGGUUCAGUGGUA
rnacentral:piRNA from 1 species